AACGUUAAGAGUCUUGCCCAAGGACCCUCACUGGGUGAUGUUAAUUGCUCACCACUGAUAUGGUAAUUACCCCCAGCACCAUUGCUCAUUCCCCUCCAGAGAUCGAACCCUGGAUUCCUGCAUGUUAUAGCCUUUCACCUUAACAACCGAGCUACCCAGCUGCUAAUAAACCUAUUUCUGCUUUAUUUUUACUACAAUGGAUAAUACGUUUCACGUUGUGAAAUCUUUGCCUUCCAGAUAUAAUUCCAUUUUGGUCUCAAUAAACAAUGCUUGGCGACGUAGUCUGUAGUCGUGUAGUUAAGAGUUUACAGAUUAUUUUAAGGUCAGAGUUGGAUAAACUUAUUAGUCUAAACUUUUCACACUCGAAAAUUCACACCAGAACACUCGUCCCAAUCAAUCAGGCGGAACAAGGUGCAAAAAACAAGUCUGGAGCAGCCCUGUAGAAAGUUGAUAUUUUCUAGAUUUAAAAACUGCUUCAGAUUAAUUGAAGUCUAAGGUAAGAACAUGCAUAAAGUGUACAUUGUAUCCUGGAGAGAAGUUUUUCUGUUAAACCCAGAUAGCAAGUACAGUUGUCUGAGAUUUCAACAUAAAUGUAUUUAAGUUGAGCAACAGAGUUAAACACACUUUGAGUUAUCUAAAAAUGUGUUUGCUCAAAAUCAAAUCAAAAUCAAAACUUGUUGGGGAGACAACUACUGUGUAAUACUGUAAAUUGUCAGUUUUAAUCUAUCUUAAUCAUUUCAAAUGAAUUGUGAAAACUGAUGAAAAAAUGAAAUAUUGUCUGACAUAAACUUUUUUAUACACUAAAAAAAUAGUUGUGUUUAUUGGUAACCAGUUACUUUUGUCAUAGAGUAAUUUAGUUACUAACUCAGUUACAUUUAUGAAUAAGUAGUGAGUAACUAUAUAAACUUUUAAAAAAUAUUAUUCCCAACAUUGUUGAAUACUUUAGGAGUCUCAACAAUAUUAGAAGGAAGGAUUUUUCCACCACAUUUUCAGCAGUUUGUAGUUUUUAAAAUUUUGAAAGGUUUGCUACUGUGUGGACCUUGUAAUAAAGUAUUCAGAUGUGUCAUGGCGCCUCUGUCAGUCACCUUCCCCCCUCCCUCUCCUGCUCGGCUCUGGACGCGACCAGCUGGUUCCAAUCAUCACCUCGUUAAACCGCCUACUUCAGGAGAUCCAGGACCUGACGUCAACGCCAGUCCGUUGUUCUUACCACGGAAUCAUCCUCACGAGUGUGCUCCUCGGGCUACAGUUCUCCAGUUCCCCUCUACGUCUUCCCUUCGGAUCCAGCAAGCCUCAGUCUCGAGCUCCGUCUGCCUCCACCCUCCAGUCAGCCGCCACGCAGCAACAAAGACUUGGUCACAGACUCUCCUUCAGAGAAAUUAAAUCUUUCUUAUACUUA